UGGGGGAUAUUGGACAAUGGGGGCAACCCUGAUCCAGCCAUGCCGCGUGAGUGAUGAAGGCCUUAGGGUUGUAAAGCUCUUUCGCCGGUGAAGAUAAUGACGGUAACCGGUAAAGAAGCCCCGGCUAACUUCGAGCCAGCAGCCGCGAUAAUACGAAGGGGGCUAGGGUUGUUCGGAAUUACUGGGCGUAAAGCGCGCGUAGGCGGACUAUUAAGUCAGGGGUGAAAUCCCGGGGCUCAACCUCGGAAUUGCCUUUGAUACUGGUAGUCUAGAGUCCGUGGGAGGUGAGUGGAACUCCGAGUGUAGAGGUGAAAUUCGUAGGUAUUCGGAAGAACACCAGUGGCGAAGGCGGCUCACUGGCACGGUACUGACGCUGAGGUGCGAAAGCGUGGGGAGCAAACAGGAUUAGAUAC
rnacentral:rRNA from 1 species